rnacentral:rRNA from 1 species
UACAGAGGGUGCAAGCGUUAAUCGGAGUUACUGGGCGUAAAGGGCGCGUAGGUGGUUUGGUAAGUUAGCUGUGAAAUCCCUGGGCUUAACCUAGGAACUGCAGCUGAUACUGCUGAACUGGAGUACUGUAGAGGGUAGUGGAAUUUCCGGUGUAGCGGUGAAAUGCGUAGAGAUCGGAAGGAACACCAGUGGCGAAGGCGGCUACCUGGACAGAUACUGACACUGAGGCGCGAGAGCGUGGGGAGCAAACAGG